rnacentral:rRNA from 1 species
GACGAACGCUGGCGGCGUGCUUAACACAUGCAAGUCGAGCGAGGCUCCUCCUUCGGGAGGAUGCCCUAGCGGCGAACGGGUGAGUAACACGUGGGCAACCUGCCCCUAGCACUGGGAUAACUCCGGGGAACCGGGGCUAAUACCGGAUACGACCUCCGAGGGCAUCCUCGGUGGUGGAAAGGAUUCUGGCUAGGGAUGGGCCCGCGGCCUAUCAGCUUGUUGGUGGGGUAACGGCCCACCAAGGCGACGACGGGUAGCCGGCCUGAGAGGGCGACCGGCCACACUGGGACUGAGACACGGCCCAGACUCCUACGGGAGGCAGCAGUGGGGAAUAUUGCACAAUGGGCGAAAGCCUGGUGCAGCGACGCCGCGUGAGGGACGACGGCCUU